rnacentral:tRNA from 1 species
GCCUAGGUGAUGGAAUUGGUAUACGUGCUGGAUUUAGAUUCCAGAUUUUGUGGGUUCGAGUCCCACCCUAGGUA